UACGUAGGUGACCAGCGUUGUCCGAAUUUACUGGGCGUAAAGAGCGUGUAGGCGGUCCGGUAAGUCGGCUGUGAAAGUCCAGGGCUCAACCCUGGGAUGCCGGUCGAUACUGCCGGACUAGAGUUCGGAAGAGGCGAGUGGAAUUCCCGGUGUAGCGGUGAAAUGCGUAGAUAUCUGGAGGAACACCGGUGGCGAAGGCGGCAUCCUGGACCAUAACUGACGCUGAGGCGCGAAAGCUAGGGGAGCAAACGGG
rnacentral:rRNA from 1 species